rnacentral:sRNA from 1 species
GUUUGCACUCAUCGGGGAAGGGUGAGAACCUUCGACUAAGGUUCGAUUCGAGCGAAAGCGAGAGAACGUUGCCACAGGCAACGGCCCGAAGGGUGAAGAGCGAAGCGCUGAGUAAUCCUUCCCCCACCACCA